GGUGGGGGAGACCAUGGAACUGCCCGGAUCCAUCAAAACAGAUCCAAAGGAAGACGUGCACACUCCUGGGGAUGAAGACUUCAGGGAGAGUGCCCGAGAGAUCCGUACAUGAGCGAUGCUCUGUGAGUUAACCAGAAGGGAGAAACUGGUACCAGCCUGAUACCUCCAAAGACCCAAGGUCUAAGAGACAUGGGUUCGAUCCCUAGGUCAGGAAGAUCCUCUGAAGUAGGAAACUGCACCCACUCCAGUAUUCUUGCCUGGAGGAGUCCAUGGGCAGAGAAGUCUGCUAGUCUACAGUCCAUGGUGUCAUGAAGAACUGGACAUGACUUAGCAACUCAGGACGUAUCUCCAAAGGUGAACACUUAAAAACUCUGGUAUACUCUAAUAAUCAUGGCUGAUAGAUGUUGGUGUUUGGCAGAAACCAAUAUAAUUCUGUAAAACAAUUACCCUUCAAUUAAAAAAUAAAUUAAUUUUUUAAAGUUA